ensembl:lncRNA
AUAGGAGAGGUGCUCCAGCCCUCUGAUCAUCUUAGUUAUUGCAUUCUUUGCAAUCACUUGCAGCCUGGGACUGCUUUCUGGCUCUGAAUUAUUAGAUACCCUUUACUACUUUUUUCUUGUUGUGACAUCUUCCUGCCAUACAAUUCAUAUGACAACUGCCAUUUAGUGUGUAUAUAUAGGGAAGGGUUGUUUAUUUUAGUACCAAUUGUCACACCUGUUAUAAACAUACUACUGCUACAUAUUCCAGUUGCCAAAUAUAUAAUAACAACUGCAGUACUCUUUAAAACUGACUUAAGACUGAGAUGGAAAGUGGCUGCAGUGUACUUGCUUUCAGUGAUGUCUGGGCUGGAGUUAUUUGGAGCUGCAGUGGUUGAUUACUGUUUGCGAGGAGGUUCUUAAAAUAAUUGUGGCAAAUGGAGCGAUGUUUGAAGUGUAUAAAAAUGGAAAGCUUUCAUUCCAUCUCUGAGAAGCGUGCCAAGUGAUGAAAAUUAAGGUAAAAAGGAAUUUGUGGAAGAAAUGAAGAGCAUAGACUUCUCUGGAAUGUGAGAGGUAUGGAAAUUUGCUUUGUGCUAUAAGAAGGAACAACAGGUGAUUCAUGGCCUAAUAGGAAAAGCAGGCAUAUGUGGAUUUUCACUAUUUAUAUGGCUGGAAAUAGUUGAAAUCUGAGAAGGAGAGACAGCUGCUGCACAGCAGAAGUACCAAAAUAGCAGUGUGCCAAAAUUUUACUAAGAAUCUUGAAAUGUUGAUGGUUUGCUUUUGAAGACUCACAAAUAGGGUACAGUGAAUAUGAAAUUGUACUAGAAAACAAUACCUUUUGGUGAGUUGUAGAUCACCUGGACUGGAGAGAAGUGGAGGACUGGGCAGAAGAGGAGGAAAUAUGGAUGUUUGUUAGGGAAAACUGAACAGUGAGAACAUGCAAGCUGGGUGAAGGGAUAGGCUCAAGAGUGGUGUGAUCCAUGGCGUGAAGGCCACCCAGAGGCAGGCGUGUUGGUGUUCCUGCAAUAUUCAGGAAUUUCCUUCUGGGGCUGCAUUUGGCUUGAGGACUACAGCUGCUGCACACAGCAAACCAGGGUGACCAGCAGAUGUCAGCUCUUUGUCUCAUCAGGAGGAAAUCGCAGUUGCUGUGGACAGGACUACACAGAGAAAAGAAAGAAGACCCUGGCCCUUCAGAAUGAUGCAUCUGCAACUGCAUCAUACAGAAAUUUACAGCCAUCUUCAAACACCGCCCAGCUUGCCUGCUGGGGCAUCUAUUUCAGUGCCGAAUAGAUGGUCAUUGCCAUAACAUCCAACACUGUGAUUGCUGCUGUGAUGGCCACUAUUAGUGCAAAUGGCAGUUUCAGGCCCAUUACACUGAGUGCAUUCAGGAGGGCCCAAAACCUGUGGAAAAUGUAUAAUUAAACUAUUUGGGAACACUUAGGCCAACUGAUACCAGAAUGAAUUAUGGUAUAUGCAGCUUGUUGUUCUUCUAAUGAGUAAUACAGUUACUGCUAUAAAGUAGCUGUUUUGAAUAAUUGUCUAAUUUUCAAAUGGAAAAAUAUAUUGAGAUAAUUACUUAAGUAGAGUCUAAAAAUAAAUUCUAAGUUCAUUAAGAAACAGCUUUAAAUUUGCUAAAUACUUUAGCUGGCCUUAUUAAAAUACAUUGCUUCAGAAAGUGAGAAAUUAUUCUUUUGUGGUGAGAUGAGAAAAGUAGCUUUAAUAACAAAAGUAUGUUUUAAAUUUAAAUAUGUAAGCAUUUCAAACCUUACAGCUUCAAAAGUGAAAAAGAUGAAUGGAUCAAACCCUGUCCCCAUUUCAGUUAAAGACAGUCUUGCCACUUAUUUCAGUCAAGUACGGGUGACACUCGAAGUGGUGAAUCUAACCUAUAAUUUCCCCACUGCUCUGUUUUACUGGGAGAUAAUACAUUUACCUCAUUCAGGCCUUUGUAUCUCUCAUUAGCUCUCAUCCAGGAACCCCAAGGAGUUUAAUGGUGGAACCUGAACAAUCAUGCAAAAUCCACUUCUGCUUAUAAUACCCAUGUAGGGAUGUCACCCCUCUCAAACUCUUUCCUAGUGAAACAAACCAGUGAGAUUCAAGACCUGAAAAGAAGAUUAUUGUAGCUUUUACAAAAAUCUUUACAAGUGGGUCAGUUACUUUACAGCUCUAAUAGUAUUCUUUUUUUCUUUCUCAUGUAAUUAUUAACCCAGUAGCAUAUUUUGAUUUAAGUUAAUCUUUGCUUUUGUAUAGCGUUAUUUGCAAUAAAUUCUGAAGUAUCAAAUGCUUUUGUGUGACGUGGAGAAGGUGUCUUUAUCAGCAGGAGCAUCUCCUGGGAAAGAAUCAAAGAGCACAGGCAGCAGUGUGAAGACAGUCUAAUCACACAAGAUGGAAUUAUCAUAGAUUAUCACUCUUCUAAUUCAUUCUGAAUAGGAACUACCUUAUUAUCUACUUUAUCAUCCUUUACUGGAUGUGGCAGGGAAUGUGCCCACUGAGGAUAACGACAAGGCUGAAGUUCUCAAUGCCUUCAUACAAUCAUAGAAUCACUAAGGUUGGAAAGGACCCACAGGAUCAUCCCAUCCAACCAUUUGCCCUUCACCAAUGGUUCCCACUAAACCACAUCCCUCAACACAACAUCCAAACGCUCUUUGAACACCACCGGGCUUGGUGACUCCACCACCUCUC